CUUUUUGGAGAGUUUGAUCCUGGCUCAGGACGAACGCUGGCGGCGUGCCUAAUACAUGCAAGUCGAGCGAAUCUGAUAGGAGCUUGCUCCUUCUCAGAUUAGCGGCGGACGGGUGAGUAACACGUGGGUAACCUGCCUGUAAGACUGGGAUAACUCCGGGAAACCGGGGCUAAUACCGGAUAACUUUUUUCUUCGCAUGAAGGAGAAUUGAAAGGUGGCACUAGCUACCACUUACAGAUGGACCCGCGGCGC
rnacentral:rRNA from 1 species